ensembl:antisense Gm14273 predicted gene 14273
GUGGUCGUCAGGCAGAAAGUGAUGAAUGUUGGGUAUUUAAUGGCUUCCUCCUUUUCUCCCCUUUUUUAUUCAAGGGUUCAGUCCACCCUUAGGGCGGUCUCUCCUUCUCUGUUAAACCCCUCUGGAAAUGUCCUCACAGUUUCUGUCUAAGCUGUCUCCUGGGUGAUUCUAAAUUCAGCCAAACUGACAAUAAAGAUUUACGGUGACACAGACGCAUGGAGUUAAAUCCUUUCUGAGGGGCAGGAGAGGUGGCUCCGUGGCUAAGAAUACUUGCUGCUAGACUCACAGUUGAGAGAGAGGGCCAUUAGAAGGCUUUGAGACAACGCCUCCCCACCCCUGAAAAGUAACAGCCUCGACAGGAAGCCACGGAAGGGAACUCUUAAAAAGCAUGGUUGAAUUCAAUCUUCCCUGGUUAAGGAAGUUUCGGGCAGACUGAAGGCCAGGACUGAGCAAAGUGCUAGCCUAGAGGGCCCAAAGUCUCCGGUUCCAUCGUGUGCCAGGCAGGGUGGUGCAAGCCUGUGGUCUCAGCACUUGGAAGGGACAAAAGGAAGGAUCAGAAGUUCAAGAUUGAGAUGUAAGCUCUUGGCUACUUCUCUAGCUCUGGGCUCACCUACCUUCUGUCUGUCAUGAUGGAUAAGGACUCUUAACUAUCCCUCUGAAACUGGACUGUCUUUGUGCCUGGUCUACACACAAGGAAAGAGAAAAGGUCAGAGGUGUGGAUGGGCUUGCGUACUCGCAUGGCGUAAACACUAAGAGAGCACCACAGCGUGUCCUGCACCUUUGGAAAUAACUCUCAAGCACGCAGCCGCAACACCAAAAACACAGGCAAAGCUACUAAAGGGAGCAGCGACGUCAGAAUAUCCAUGAACGUGGUCUGACUGGACAGUCUUGCUGAGAAGAGUGAACCGAAAGCCAAGGGAAGCAGAAGAGAGUGUUAGCCAUGUUGUCAUGGCUCCUGCCCUUGUAGAGCCCAGGCCCAUAUGCAUUUUGUCUUGCUUCUUCUGCUGCUAUCCCAAACUGUGGCUAAAUAGACCUUUCCUCUUUAUAAACGCCUUGCCUUGAGUAUGUCACUGUGGUAAGAGGAAGCUGACCAAUGCUCCUUCCUUCUGAGCAAGGCUUUGAGGUAGAUUUCACAGGGACAUGGUUCCCAGGCAUUGGUGAUUUACAGUGGCUUGAGCACCAGGAGUCAGGGCCACUGACAGAUUUCACAGGGACGUGAAUCCCAGAAGGACAGGGGCAUGAACACCAGAAGGGCCACUGCUGUCUCAGAGACCACAGAAACUCUGCUGAGCUCCCUCCUGCUUUCAAGAAGCUUCCAGUGGGAUGAGAGUCAAGACUUCGCUCUGCCAACCACCGAGAACCAGCUCAGAGUGUGAGCCAAGCCGGGCUCUUCUCCCUCCCGCUACAGAAGGAAAUCAUUUUCUAUAAUGAGGACUUCAGGCUGCUCCCUCGGAAGGAAGGCUUGUCACCUGUCACUCAGCUUCCGUCUACCUCAUUACUCUCAAGACGCACAGCCAAUUUUCCUGGAUGUCUUCCUUCCCUCCAUGCCCCACAGCUGUGAGCCUGAUCUGCAAAAAAAAAGCCAUCACCUCAUAAUCUGACCAUCAGAGAGGCGUAAAGGGGGGCAUGCUACCAAUCGUAUUUCUAUUUUAAAUUCCAAUAAACAUGAGCUGAAGC